rnacentral:lncRNA from 1 species
GGAGCUUUUGACUAUCUUCAGCAGUUUUGUAUUAUACUAAAUGGGAUGUGAUGUUUUCCUUAAGAACCUCCAUGAAAUGGGGAAAAUGUAUUGAACUCCUUUCUUACCCAGGCUGAAAGAUUCCUUUGAAAUUAAGAGUGUUUCAUUUCACUGUGAUGCAAAGUGUAGAGCCACGGUUGGGCUUUGAUUCUCCAGUCCAUCUCAGCAGCAUGAGCUGCUGCCCUUCUUCUGGCUCUAGUGAAGUGGUUAUGCAGCACGGUGCACCUGAGAAACAGCUGAUGACAUUGUUUAAACCUGAAUGCUUUGGCUUCUACCCUAAAGAUUCAAGAGGUCCAGAGUGAAAAUAAGAAUCUGCAUUUUCCACAAAUAUCCCAUGUAACAGGGAAAUUUGAAUUUAUCUCUCUUUGAUCCUCCCAACUGCUGAUGUUACCAAUAAGAGGACAGGGACUUUUUGCAACUGAAUGCAAUGGAUUCAUAUUGUGGUGAGUAAAAGCCAAUAAACACAACCAGGAUAUAAAAGGGUGGAGAAAUAUUUAUUACUUGCAGCAAGUAAGGAGAACACCAGAGAUGAUUUUCAAAGCAGUAGUCUCUCUUUGAACAAAGAAAGCAAGGACUUUUGCCGGGGAAACUUACGUUUAUUCAAGUAGGGAAAACUCAUCAACACACAUUAAAAAAUAGGAUGAUGAAUGCCUUUCUGAGCGUGCUUAGCUCAGAGGUCAUAAUCACAUAUUCAAAAGAAAAGAUGGGCAGAGAAUCCAGUAUUAUAAAG